GGAUAGCUCAGUUGAUAGAGCAUGAGACUCUUAAUCUCAGGGUCAUGAGGUUCAGCCUCAUGUUGGGCA